CUUACUUUAGUUUAAAGAGAACAAAGGUUUUGGGGAUCUUAGGCCUCCUUUUAAGGAGAAGUUUGG
rnacentral:tRNA from 3 species